rnacentral:rRNA from 1 species
GGUCAAGCGAACAAGUGCAUGUGGUGGAUGCCUUGGCGAUCACAGGCGAUGAAGGACGCGGUAGCCUGCGAAAAGCUACGGGGAGCUGGCAAACGAGCUUUGAUCCGUAGAUGUCCGAAUGGGGAAACCCGGCCCUUUUGGGUCAUCCUAGACUGAAUACAUAGGUCUAGUGAAGCGAACGCGGUGAACUGAAACAUCUAAGUAACCGCAGGAAAAGAAAUCAACCGAGAUUCCCAAAGUAGUGGCGAGCGAAAUGGGAUGAGCCUUGCACUCUUUAUUUGUAUUGUUAGCCGAACGCUCUGGAAAGUGCGGCCAUAGCAGGUGAUAGCCCUGUAGGCGAAAACAGUAUGAAAGAACUAGGUGUGCGACAAGUAGGGCGGGACACGUGAAAUCCUGUCUGAAGAUGGGGGGACCAUCCUCCAAGGCUAAAUACUCGUGAUCGACCGAUAGUGAACCAGUACCGUGAGGGAAAGGCGAAAAGAACCCCGGGAGGGGAGUGAAAUAGAUCCUGAAACCGCAUGCAUACAAACAGUCGGAGCCUCGCAAGGGGUGACGGCGUACCUUUUGUAUAAUGGGUCAGCGACUUACGUUCAGUAGCAAGCUUAACCGUAUAGGGCAGGCGUAGCGAAAGCGAGUCCGAAUAGGGCGUUCAGUUGCUGGGCGUAGACCCGAAACCAGGUGAUCUAUCCAUGGCCAGGAUGAAGGUGCGGUAACACGUACUGGAGGUCCGAACCCACUAACGUUGAAAAGUUAGGGGAUGAGCUGUGGAUAGGGGUGAAAGGCUAAACAAACCUGGAAAUAGCUGGUUCUCUCCGAAAACUAUUUAGGUAGUGCCUCGUGUCUCACCUUCGGGGUAGAGCACUGUCAUGGUUGGGGGGUCUAUUGCAGAUUACCCCGCCAUAGCAAACUCCGAAUACCGAAGAGUGCAAUCACGGGAGACAGACAUCGGGUGCUAACGUCCGGUGUCAAGAGGGAAACAACCCAGACCGCCAGCUAAGGUCCCCAAAUAUAGCUAAGUGGGAAACGAAGUGGGAAGGCUAAAACAGUCAGGAGGUUGGCUUAGAAGCAGCCACCCUUUAAAGAAAGCGUAAUAGCUCACUGAUCGAGUCGUCCUGCGCGGAAGAUGUAACGGGGCUAAGCUAUAUACCGAAGCUGCGGAUGCGAGCUUGCUCGCAUGGUAGGAGAGCGUUCCGUAAGCCUGCGAAGGUGCCUUGUAAAGGGUGCUGGAGGUAUCGGAAGUGCGAAUGCUGACAUGAGUAGCGAUAAAGGGGGUGAAAGGCCCCCUCGCCGUAAGCCCAAGGUUUCCUACGCAACGUUCAUCGGCGUAGGGUGAGUCGGCCCCUAAGGCGAGGCAGAAAUGCGUAGCUGAUGGGAAGCAGGUCAAUAUUCCUGCACCAUUGUUAGAUGCGAUGGGGGGACGGAUCGCGGAAGGUUGUCCGGGUGUUGGAAGUCCCGGUCGCUGCAUUGGAGAAGGCGCUUAGGCAAAUCCGGGCGCAGGAUUCAAGGGUGUGGCGCGAGCUCCUUAGGGAGCGAAGCAAUUGGAAGUGGUUCCAAGAAAAGCCUCUAAGCUUCAGUCUAACGAUGACCGUACCGCAAACCGACACAGGUGGGCGAGAUGAGUAUUCUAAGGCGCUUGAGAGAACUCGGGAGAAGGAACUCGGCAAAUUGGUACCGUAACUUCGGGAUAAGGUACGCCCUUGUAGCUUGACUGGCCUGCGCCAGGAGGGUGAAGGGGUUGCAAUAAACUGGUGGCUGCGACUGUUUAAUAAAAACACAGCACUCUGCAAACACGAAAGUGGACGUAUAGGGUGUGACGCCUGCCCGGUGCCGGAAGAUUAAAUGAUGGGGUGCAAGCUCUUGAUUGAAGUCCCGGUAAACGGCGGCCGUAACUAUAACGGUCCUAAGGUAGCGAAAUUCCUUGUCGGGUAAGUUCCGACCUGCACGAAUGGCGUAACGAUGGCCACACUGUCUCCUCCCGAGACUCAGCGAAGUUGAAGUGUUUGUGAUGAUGCAAUCUACCCGCGGCUAGACGGAAAGACCCCAUGAACCUUUACUGUAGCUUUGCAUUGGACUUUGAACCGAUCUGUGUAGGAUAGGUGGGAGGCUAUGAAACCGGAACGCUAGUUUCGGUGGAGCCGUCCUUGAAAUACCACCCUGGUUUGUUUGAGGUUCUAACCUUGGCCCGUGAUCCGGGUCGGGGACAGUGCAUGGUAGGCAGUUUGACUGGGGCGGUCUCCUCCCAAAGCGUAACGGAGGAGUACGAAGGUACGCUAGGUACGGUCGGAAAUCGUGCUGAUAGUGCAAUGGCAUAAGCGUGCUUAACUGCGAGACCGACAAGUCGAGCAGGUGCGAAAGCAGGUCAUAGUGAUCCGGUGGUUCUGUAUGGAAGGGCCAUCGCUCAACGGAUAAAAGGUACUCUGGGGAUAACAGGCUGAUACCGCCCAAGAGUUCAUAUCGACGGCGGUGUUUGGCACCUCGAUGUCGGCUCAUCUCAUCCUGGGGCUGUAGCCGGUCCCAAGGGUAUGGCUGUUCGCCAUUUAAAGAGGUACGUGAGCUGGGUUUAAAACGUCGUGAGACAGUUUGGUCCCUAUCUGCCGUGGGCGUUGGAUAUUUGAAGGGGGCUGCUCCUAGUACGAGAGGACCGGAGUGGACGAACCUCUGGUGUACCGGUUGUCACGCCAGUGGCAUCGCCGGGUAGCUAUGUUCGGAAGAGAUAACCGCUGAAAGCAUCUAAGCGGGAAACUCGCCUUAAGAUGAGAUAUCCCUGGGGACUAGAUCCCCUUGAAGGGUCGUUCGAGACCAGGACGUUGAUAGGUCAGGUGUGUAAGCGCAGUAAUGCGUUCAGCUAACUGAUACUAAUUGCCCGUAAGGCUUGAUCCU